GUGUCAGCCGCCGCGGUAAUACAGAGGGUGCAAGCGUUGUUCGGAAUUACUGGGCGUAAAGCGCGUGUAGGCGGUCUGGUAAGUCGGUCGUGAAAUCCCUGGGCUUAACCCAGGAACUGCGAUCGAAACUGUUAGACUUGAGUAUCGGAGGGGAUGGCGGAAUUCCUGGUGUAGAGGUGAAAUUCGUAGAUAUCAGGAGGAACACCUGUGGCGAAGGCGGCCAUCUGGAAGAUUACUGACGCUGAGACGCGAAAGCGUGGGGAGCAAACAGGAUUAGAAACCCCAGUAGUCC
rnacentral:rRNA from 1 species